UAGGGAAUUUUCGUCAAUGGGCGCAAGCCUGAACGAGCAAUGCCGCGUGAACGAGGAAGUCUUCGGAUCGUAAAGUUCUGUUGAAGGGGAAAAAGAGCGGAGAGAGGAAAUGGUCUCCGAUUGAUAUUACCCUUCGAGGAAGUCACGGCUAACUACGUGCC
rnacentral:rRNA from 1 species